ACUAAAUUUAACUAAAAUGACCUAAUAUGACUAAAACUUUUUUUUCUUAAGAGAUAUAUAGCACAGUACUCACUUCGUUUAUUUCAUUUAGUUAUUUCAUUUAGAAAUAAACGAAGCUGGAAAUGUGAAUCAACAAGAAUUCGAACUUGGGCCUUGGAUACUAACCACCAAGUCUUUUGCCACUUGCUCUAAGGACGGUCAGUUGAUAUGACUAAAUAUUGUAGCAUAUAUAGCCAAAUAAGUAGCAUUUCACUACUUGGCAUUAUGAUGCAUUAUUUUAUGAUCUUUUUGCACAUUAUUUGGCAGUAUGUUGUACUGUUUUACGAUUGUUUUAUACUUAUCAAAUAGUGCAACAUAUAUCAAAUAGUGAAUGUUUGGGCAUAGCUUUUAAAAAAUGAUUUUAAGCGUAAAAGUAAUGUUUUGGCGUAGCUUUUUGCACUAGUUUUGUUUUCAUAAUGAGAAAACUGAAUUUAGGGCCCUAAAAUAUGAAGCAAUUUAAAGCUGCUUCUCAAAAACCGAUUUCUAAAGGAUCAGUUUUAUCAUUCUAAAAUUUUAUUAAAAUACCCAAACUGCUCCUAAAUAAAUCAUAUAUUUCUCCCCUAUUCUAUUAUAUUCAUUUAAUAUAUUUCUCUUACGUCUUCUCUCUCGUCUUCCACCUAACAGUGAAAAACACUCUUCCCAACCCACCUCUCUCUAACAGCAAUAACUCAAUCCCUCUCCCAUUUUCGUCUCUUCCCAAACCACCUCUCACCAAUCACUCUAUCUCUCUCCCAGCUUCCUCUCUUCCCAAACUAAA
rnacentral:lncRNA from 1 species